CUUGUGGCCAAUGUCAUGGUCUGCGGUCUCGUUCAAAUUACAAACUAGUAUAGAGGAGCUAAAGCUAAGAUUUUGCUGUUUGGAGAUGAGCGCAAGGCAGCAGCUGAUGAACGCCUUUGUUUGGUUGAUAGAAGCAUUACUUCGGAAGAAGACUCAUUGGGUCUAUUGUUGUACAAACAGCUCGUUGAAGAGGCUGAUGCCGCUUAGUAAGCCCUGGCCUAACUGUACUGACCUGCAAUUUGGCGGUGGAUCAAGAGCUACCUCUGUCAGUUCUCGUUGAAUUCUGGUUAAUAAAUAAAAAAUAAACAAAUUUAAAA